rnacentral:lncRNA from 7 species
CAGCGCCCGGCGCUCGGUCGUUCCCCUCCGGCCGCUCUCAGCAAUCCGGCCGAUCGUCGCAGUCCCAGCGAAGCGAACGGGUUGAGGAUGAUGACGGGCGGCCGGCCAUUGCUUUCAGCAUUGCUGUCUUUCGGAUACAUCACCGAGCAAACAAAACGAAACGAUUGGAUUCGGAACUAAAAAACACUGAAGAUCUAUACGUACGGGAUGAUCUGUUCCUCUUUCGAAAACUCUCGUAUUCCAUAUAUAUGCGCAUGCACACGUACGUUUGCAGAAUGUAUAAACCGAGUCAUAAAUCGACUCGGUGUACCCUUGUCACUUCUUCCUUGGAGACGCGCUAGCUGUAGCUCUUGUUGCUGAUGCUUGUCUCGCUCUCGCCAUCGCCACGUACGCACCACCGCCUCAUAAAAUCAUGGAAACAACCCGUGUACGUAUAUAUAGGUGAAAAGUGAA